GAAGUUUAGGUUAAUCCAAUCAAACCGGGGGCCUUCAAAGCCCCAAAUAAGGGUUAAAUUCCCCUAACUUCUG
rnacentral:tRNA from 1 species